AUUGAACGCUGGCGGCAUGCCUUACACAUGCAAGUCGAACGGCAGCACGGGUGCUUGCACCUGGUGGCGAGUGGCGAACGGGUGAGUAAUACAUCGGAACAUGUCCUGUAGUGGGGGAUAGCCCGGCGAAAGCCGGAUUAAUACCGCAUACGAUCUACUGAUGAAAGCGGGGGACCUUCGGGCCUCGCGCUAUAGGGUUGGCCGAUGGCUGAUUAGCUAGUUGGUGGGGUAAAGGCCUACCAAGGCGACGAUCAGUAGCUGGUCUGAGAGGACGACCAGCCACACUGGGACUGAGACACGGCCCAGACUCCUACGGGAGGCAGCAGUGGGGAAUUUUGGACAAUGGGCGAAAGCCUGAUCCAGCAAUGCCGCGUGUGUGAAGAAGGCCUUCGGGUUGUAAAGCACUUUUGUCCGGAAAGAAAUCCUUGGCCCUAAUACGGUCGGGGGAUGACGGUACCGGAAGAAUAAGCACCGGCUAACUACGUG
rnacentral:rRNA from 1 species